GGGCCGCUAGCUCAUCUGGCAGAGCACCGCCCUUUUAAGGCGGGCGUGGCAGGUUCGAGUCCUGCGCGGCCUACCA
rnacentral:tRNA from 1 species